CCGGGUGAGUUCAAUUUGCAGCCAAAGAUGGGGUCUGGCGCGUCUCCUGUGACGGAUUCUGAUGAUAAAAAGAUGUUUAAAACUAAAGAAGCACUUGUCUCUUUACCGAAACACUCUUACUGGCUGGACUUCUGGGUGUUUGUAAUGUUUGACAUCGCUUUAUUCCUUCUUGUGCAUUUCCUCAUCCCUUGAGGUUUGUCCCCAUGACUUUGGAGACCAGGACAUGGAGCGCAGGGUCUGUCCUGCUCUGGAGAAGGCUAACCCAGCUUUCACUGAAUUUAACGCCUUGUUACUGAAUGCCACGCUUCAAGUUUCUACAGCUGGGAUUUACGAUAUUUAAGCUUCUUGGACAUGACAUCCUGACCUUAUUAUCAGACCUCCGAGCCCCAGAAACCCUUCUCUAAGCUGUAGCUUGUGUGGGUUUCUGUUGUUUAGAAGAUACAAAUUUAAAGUAUUGAUAAAAACUCACUGCACCUUGACUAUUAUUCCCAGGGCUUAUUCACUUUUAAAUUUAUUCUAAACACCUGUAUGUUAUUUCUGUAAAUGUUUUUUUUUAUUAUUUUUAUUUAAUGUCUACAGUUUUAGUAUGCCAUUUGGUGAACAUAUCGAUCAAUGAGAAUGUACAAGAUUUAAAAGUAUAAUUGCACACCAAAAGAAAACCUUUUUUGAAGAAUUUCAAGAAAACAAGUCUUGAGGGUUUGCACAUGAACAAUUUAAGCACAAAUAAAGUGUUUUGGCUCUUUCAUCUGCUCUGUUAUGCAUAAUGGAAAUUAUUUAAUGUUUAUUUUGUAUUUUUCACAGAAUGCAUUUGCGUUUUCAAUGCACACACAUCCAAUCAUUUUCUGUUUUUUGAGAGAACUGCACUGAUGGCAAUGAACUAAUUUAUUUAUAUAAGUUUGAAGACUCUUACUUUGAAGUGUAACUGAUGCUUCCGGUAAAAUAAACUAUUAUUAGCAGCUAGCAUGCUAAGUUACGCUACUUUUUCAAACAUUUUUAAAAGUCUUUUGGUAAUAUCUACAGUAUGGAAAACGUUUGCCAGGUGAAAAACACAGAUAUAUUCCUGCCCCUGUCGUCUCUGAAGCUUAUCCCUCCUCUGAGGCUACUUUCCGCAGCGAUGUGGCAGGUGGCUCAGCGGAGAGAUGUCCUCGAUUAUGAAAAGCAGUUUGUGGCACUGGUGACAACAGCCGUGCCCGACCUGCUCAGCCCGAAGCAACGAGGCAAGCUGCUGUUUCGACUGCGAGCAAAAGCGAGUCAAAACAUUCAAAACAAAAGGGGUCCAAACAUGUGAGCCAAUAACUGGAAAAUAUUCUAGGGCCAAAAUAAUUUUAUGCAUUUCUAUUUUCCUUUUAUAUUUAAACUCUCAAAAAACAUCAACGCACACCGUUUUAAGGAAAUGACAAAAGUAUAUAAUAAUGUAGUACAGUGGUUCCCAAACUUUUUGUCUUCUGACCCACAAAAUAUCCAUGGCAAAAACUUGUGACCCC